CGGGGCGGCCACGCCUGGGAGCAUCAUGGCGGCCUCCCCGGUGCGCUCUUGCCGCCGCCUGUUGGGACUGCGCUCCAGGGCUGCUGACUCCGGUGGGAGUGGCUGCCCCGCGGGUUUCAGCGGAUUCGGUAGAGACGAUUUGUUCGUUGCUGCUUACUGCCUCGUCCAACACCGGCGAACGAAUGUGUGGGGCCAAGAUGAGAAAGUACGAGGAAAGGAAGGCCGGGUCUUGGUAUCCCGCCUUCCUGACCGAAGAGCCUGUUUCCCUCCUUGGGUUGACUUUGAUUUGCUCUGUAGUGAGGGGAACAAGAUGGAUACUGAAGGACAGUGAAGCACAUCAGCCUCAGGGGAGCUGAUUUUUACUCAAGAUCUUUUUACCCAAGUGUGUCUGUGACCUAAAAAUAAGAUUUUAUAUUAUUAUUAAACAAGCAUUUAAACCUGCAAUGUCUCCCAUUUCUAAAAGUUAUUGUUGUUUCUACACUUAUGCAUAUUAUGCUAUAGAGUACCUUCAGCUUUCAAACUUCCUCAUUCAUCACUAAUUUAUUUAGCAAAUUGUUCUAAACACUUUUUAUGUGCCAAGCAUUAAAUUAGGCAUUGGGAUACAGAUAACAAGAGGAUAAGGUUCUUGAUUUCAAUAAGCUCAUACACUGAUUGGAGACAAAAAUUAGUUAAACCAUUCAUUGGAGCAUUCAAAAUCAGACUAGAGUGGGGAGGGUGAUAGGUAAUAAAGGAGCAAACUUUCAGAGGAGAUAAUGUGGU
rnacentral:lncRNA from 1 species